rnacentral:rRNA from 1 species
GCCCUUAGAGUUUGAUCCUGGCUCAGGAUGAACGCUGGCGGCGUGCCUAACACAUGCAAGUCGAGCGAAGCGCUUAAGUUGGAUUUCUUCGGAAUGACGAUUUUUGUGACUGAGCGGCGGACGGGUGAGUAACGCGUGGGUAACCUGCCUCAUACAGGGGGAUAACAGUUAGAAAUGACUGCUAAUACCGCAUAAGACCACAGCUUCGCAUGAAGUGGUGGUAAAAACUCCGGUGGUAUGAGAUGGACCCGCGUCUGAUUAGCUAGUUGGUAAGGUAACGGCUUACCAAGGCGACGAUCAGUAGCCGACCUGAGAGGGUGACCGGCCACAUUGGGACUGAGACACGGCCCAGACUCCUACGGGAGGCAGCAGUGGGGAAUAUUGCACAAUGGGGGAAACCCUGAUGCAGCGACGCCGCGUGAAGGAUGAAGUAUUUCGGUAUGUAAACUUCUAUCAGCAGGGAAGAAAGUGACGGUACCUGACUAAGAAGCCCCGGCUAACUACGUGCCAGCAGCCGCGGUAAUACGUAGGGGGCAAGCGUUAUCCGGAUUUACUGGGUGUAAAGGGAGCGUAGACGGGAUAGCAAGUCUGAAGUGAAAGCCCGGGGCUCAACCCCGGGACUGCUUUGGAAACUGUUGACCUGGAGUGCUGGAGAGGCAAGUGGAAUUCCUAGUGUAGCGGUGAAAUGCGUAGAUAUUA